CUACACAUGCAGUCGAGCGGAUGAAGGGAGCUUGCUCCUGGAUUCAGCGGCGGACGGGUGAGUAAUGCUUAGGAAUCUGCCUAUUAGUGGGGGACAACAUUUCGAAAGGGAUGCUAAUACCGCAUACGCCCUACGGGGGAAAGCAGGGGAUCUUCGGACCUUGCGCUAAUAGAUGAGCCUAAGUCAGAUUAGCUAGUUGGUGGGGUAAAGGCCUACCAAGGCGACGAUCUGUAGCGGGUCUGAGAGGAUGAUCCGCCACACUGGGACUGAGACACGGCCCAGACUCCUACGGGAGGCAGCAGUGGGGAAUAUUGGACAAUGGGGGGAACCCUGAUCCAGCCAUGCCGCGUGUGUGAAGAAGGCCUUUUGGUUGUAAAGCACUUUAAGCGAGGAGGAGGCUCUUCUAGUUAAUACCUAGGAUGAGUGGACGUUACUCGCAGAAUAAGCACCGGCUAACUCUGUGCCAGCAGCCGCGGUAAUACAGAGGGUGCGAGCGUUAAUCGGAUUUACUGGGCGUAAAGCGUACGUAGGCGGCUUUUUAAGUCGGAUGUGAAAUCCCUGAGCUUAACU
rnacentral:rRNA from 1 species